CAAAAUGUAGCUUAAUUAAAGCCCUCCGCUUACACCGGACAUAUAUCUGUUUAACCCAGAUCAUUUUGA
rnacentral:tRNA from 3 species